CCUACGGGUGGCAGCAGUGAGGAAUAUUGGUCAAUGGCCGAGAGGCUGAACCAGCCAAGUCGCGUGAGGGAUGACGGCCCUACGGGUUGUAAACCUCUUUUGUCGGGGAGCAAAGAGAGUCACGUGUGGCUCAUUGAGAGUACCCGAAGAAAAAGCAUCGGCUAACUCCGUGCCAGCAGCCGCGGUAAUACGGAGGAUGCGAGCGUUAUCCGGAUUUAUUGGGUUUAAAGGGAGCGUAGAUGGGUUGUUAAGUCAGUUGUGAAAGUUUGCGGCUCAACCGUAAAAUUGCAAUUGAUACUGGCAGUCUUGAGUACAGUUGAGGUAGGCGGAAUUCGUGGUGUAGCGGUGAAAUGCUUAGAUAUCACGAAGAACCCCGAUUGCGAAGGCAGCUUACUAAACUGUGACUGACAUUGAUGCUCGAAAGUGUGGGUAUCAAACAGGAUUAGAUACCCUGGUAGUC
rnacentral:rRNA from 1 species